rnacentral:siRNA from 1 species
UAACUAAAUCAGCCAGAUCGGGC